CUACGGGGGGCAGCAGGCGCGAAACCUUUACAAUGCACGAAAGUGUGAUAAGGGGAUCCCAAGUGCUUAUACAUUGUAUAGGCUUUUUUCGAUGGUAAAUACAUUGGAGAAUAAGUGGUGGGAAAGACUGGUGCCAGCAGCCGCGGUAACACCAGCGCCGCAAGUGGCAAUCACAUUUAUUUGGCCUAAAGCGUCCGUAGCAGGUUUGAUAAAUCCUUCGUGAAAUCGUUGGGCCUAACCUAACGUCGUGCAGGGGAGACUGUCAGACUAGAGACCGGGAGAAGUCAGAGGAAUUUCAGAGGGAGUGGUAAAAUAUUAUAAUCUCUGAAAGACCACCUGUGGCGAAGGCGUCUGACUAGAACGGAUCUGACUGUGAGGGACGAAAGCUAGGGGAGCAAACCGGAUUAGAUACCCGAGUAGUC
rnacentral:rRNA from 1 species